UACGUAGGUGGCAAGCGUUGUCCGGAUUUACUGGGCGUAAAGGAUGCGUAGGCGGACAUUUAAGUCAGAUGUGAAAUACCCGAGCUUAACUUGGGUGCUGCAUUUGAAACUGGGUGUCUAGAGUGCAGGAGAGGUAAGUGGAAUUCCUAGUGUAGCGGUGAAAUGCGUAGAGAUUAGGAAGAACACCAGUGGCGAAGGCGGCUCACUGGCCCGGUACUGACGCUGAGGUACGAAAGCGUGGGGAGCAAACAGG
rnacentral:rRNA from 1 species